GUAAGGAAUAUUGGACAAUGGAGGGAACUCUGAUCCAGCCAUGCCGCGUGAAGGAUGAAGGCGCUCAGCGUUGUAAACUUCUUUUGGAUGGGAACAAUAACUUCUACGUGUAGGAGCUUGAGGGUACCAUCAGAAUAAGCACCGGCUAACUCCGUGCCAGCAGCCGCGGUAAUACGGAGGGUGCAAGCGUUAUCCGGAAUCACUGGGUUUAAAGGGUGCGUAGGCGGUGGCGUAAGUCAGUUGUGAAAUUCCCCGGCUUAACCGGCGGGACUGCGAUUGAUACUGCGUCACUUGAAUCAGGAUGAGGUAGGCGGAAUGUGACAUGUAGCGGUGAAAUGCUUAGAUAUGUCAUAGAACACCGAUUGCGAAGGCAGCUUGCUGGACCUGUAUUGACGCUGAGGCACGAAAGCGUGGGGAGCAAACAGGAUUAGAUACCCGGGUAGUCC
rnacentral:rRNA from 1 species